rnacentral:rRNA from 1 species
AUUGAACGCUGGCGGCAGGCCUAACACAUGCAAGUCGAACGAGUGGCGGACGGGUGAGUAAUGUCUGGGAAACUGCCUGAUGGAGGGGGAUAACUACUGGAAACGGUAGCUAAUACCGCAUACCAUCAGAUGUGCCCAGAUGGGAUUAGCUAGUUGGUGGGGUAACGGCUCACCAAGGCGACGAUCCCUAGCUGGCCUGAGAGGAUGACCGACCACACGGGAACGGAGAGACGGUCCAGAUUCCUACGGGAGGCAGCAGUGGGGAAUAUUGCACAAUGGGGGCAAUGCUGAUGCAGCCAUGCGGCGUGUAUGAAGAAGGCCUUCGGGUUGUAAAGUACUUUCAGCGGGGAGGCGUUACCCACAGAAGAAGCACCGGCUAACUCCGUGCCAGCAGCCGCGGUAAUUC